AUUUGUCUGCAAUGUAGGAAAAUCCAUGACACUUGGAGGCACUUCAAGGUAACAAUGGUGAUGAUAUGCAUCGAAUGAAGGAAAAAUCACAUGUGAAUAUGUUGAACACAGAAAAUAAAAAAGGGUGAUUGAUUGAGUUGGGUUGCUAAACACAGAAUAGACACAGAAUAGAUAGGUUCAGACAGCAUUGAAAGUGUAUAAAAACCACAUAUCAAACACAUUGAAACACAGCUAAAAGGAG
rnacentral:lncRNA from 1 species